rnacentral:rRNA from 1 species
GAUGAACGCUGGCGGCGUGCCUAAUACAUGCAAGUAGAACGCUGAAGGAGGAGCUUGCUCUUCUGGAUGAGUUGCGAACGGGUGAGUAACGCGUAGGUAACCUGCCUGGUAGCGGGGGAUAACUAUUGGAAACGAUAGCUAAUACCGCAUGACAACAGUUAUUGCAUGAUAACUGUUUAAAAGGGGCAACUGCUCCACUACCAGAUGGACCUGCGUUGUAUUAGCUAGUUGGUGAGGUAACGGCUCACCAAGGCGACGAUACAUAGCCGACCUGAGAGGGUGAUCGGCCACACUGGGACUGAGACACGGCCCAGACUCCUACGCGAGGCAGCAGUAGGGAAUCUUCGGCAAUGGUCGGAAGUCUGACCGAGCAACGCCGCGUGAGUGAAGAAGGUUUUCGGAUCGUAAAGCUCUGUUGUAAGAGAAGAACGAGUGUGAGAGUGGAAAGUUCACACUGUGACGGUAUCUUACCAGAAAGGGACGGCUAACUACGUG